GCCUGGGUGGCUCAGUCGGUUGGGCAUCCGACUUCAGCUCAGGUCAUGAUCUCACUGUCCGUGGGUUCGAGCCCCGCAUCAGGCU
rnacentral:tRNA from 1 species